rnacentral:rRNA from 1 species
UAUUUUGACUAUACAAAGGUAUUGAAAUAAGAUUUUAAUUGAAUGCUAAGAGAAUGGAAUUUCAGAAAAAAACUUUUUUAAAAUUAAAAAUUGAAAUUUUUUUAAUUUGUGCAGAAACAAUUAUUAACAUUAAGGACAAGAAGACCCUAUGAAUUUUUAAAAUUUUUAAUAAUGGUAAUUUAAUAUUAUUAAAAAUUUUAGCUGGGGCGGCUAAAAAAUAUAAUUAACUUUUUAAGAAUAAAACGAUCCACUAAUAAUGAUUACAUGUUAAAUACUCUAGGGAUAACAGCGUUAUAUUUUUUGAUAGACCAUAUUGACAAAAAAGUUUGCGACCUCGAUGUUGGAUUAGGAUACUUUUUUAAUGAAGAUAUUAAAAAAAGAAGUUUGUUCAACUUUUAAUUUCCU